rnacentral:rRNA from 1 species
UACGAAGGUCCCAAGCGUUAUCCGGAUUUAUUGGGCUUAAAGGGUGCGUAGGCGGACUAUUAAGUCAGUGGUGAAAGCCCCCAGCCUAACUGGGGAACUGCCAUUGAUACUGAUGGUCUUGAGUACAUUUGAGGUGGGCGGAAUGUGUCAUGUAGCGGUGAAAUGCUUAGAUAUGACACAGAACACCGAUUGCGAAGGCAGCUCACUAAACUGUAACUGACGCUGAGGCACGAAAGCGUGGGGAGCAAACAGG